UUGGCUUUCGACCUCUUGCUCAUAAGCCUUGCUACGAACUGUUUUUGUCCCUUCCUUAAGGCAGGGCCGCAAGCUCAGUGUUUCCCCAGCCACACACAGCUCGCAACAUAAAUAUCGAAUUCUAUCGACGACUCACACCUACGAUCUCUAAUAACCAAACGAAGAAAAAUAAAGGAAAACAAAUGCAUUACUUUAAUAUUAUAUAAGCGACGAAAAACUUUAAGGUCUGGUAGCCGCAGAUGUUGUGACCAUGCGCACCCACCCGACCUAGGAUGCCUGGAGGAUAUUACGGACAUCACCCAGGCGACUAAGACGGCUCCAUCUCCGCUACAGUGAACACUCACUCAAUCAUCCUGAUCACCGUUGAUCGUCGGCUGCUUCUGGGAACGGUCUAGGCAAGUCUAGGAAGCCUUCGAGAGCUACAAAACACCGCGGAAACUUGCCCCGCAAUUAGCGGUGCUUACAAAGACUGCACUACAACGGAUGUAUUUACAUAUGUAUAAGGUAACCUGAUCCUGAGGAGCUCCAAAGGAUUUGACGGGAUGUGCGAACCAAACGUGAGUAUGCUUCCGACUCUACUAAAUUCCUGCGCGACCCAAAUUGUACCAAAGUACCAAAUUGCACCCAAAAGUACCAAAUUGUACUUCGGGUACCAAGUGACCCAAAGUUGAACGGCAC